rnacentral:rRNA from 1 species
UGCCUUACACAUGCAAGUCGAACGGUAACAGCACUUCGGUGGCUGACGAGUGGCGAACGGGUGAGUAAUACAUCGGAACGUGCCCCGAGAGUGGGGGAUAACGCAGCGAAAGCUGUGCUAAUACCCCAUACGAUCUACGGAUGAAAGCAGGGGACCGCAAGGCCUUGCGCUCAUGGAGCGGCCGAUGGCAGAUUAGGUAGUUGGUGGGAUAAAAGCUUACCAACCCGACGAUCUGUAGCUGGUCUGAGAGGACGACCAGCCACACUGGGACUGAGACACGGCCCAGACUCCUACGGGAGGCAGCAGUGGGGAAUUUUGGACAAUGGGCGAAAGCCUGAUUUAGCCUUUCCGCGUGCAGGAUGAAGGCCUUCGGGUU